GACAGAGGUGCCAAGCGUUAGGCGGAAUCACUGGGCUUAAAGCGUGUGUAGGUGGAUGUCUAAGUACCUUGUGAAAUCCCAUGGCUCAACCAUGGAACUGCUCGGUAUACUGGAUGUCUUGAGCCACUUAGGGGCUACCGGAACAAAUGGUGGAGCGGUGAAAUGCGUAGAUAUCAUUUGGAACGCCAAUGGUGAAAACAGGUAGCUGGGAGUGAUGCUGACACUGAGACACG
rnacentral:rRNA from 1 species